rnacentral:rRNA from 1 species
CCUACGGGUGACAGCAGUGGGGAAUAUUGCACAAUGGGGGAAACCCUGAUGCAGCAACGCCGCGUGAGUGCAGAAGUAUUUCGGUAUGUAACGCUCUAUCAGCCGGGCAGCAGAUGACGGUACCUGAUUAAGAAGCCCCGGCUAACUACGUGCCAGCAGCCGCGGUAAUACGUAGGGGGCAAGCUUUCUCCGGCUUUACUGGGUGGAAAGGGAGCGCAGCCGGCCUUGCAAGUCUGGAGUGAAAGCCCGGGGCCCAACCCCGGAACUGCUCUGGAAACUGGGCGGCUAGAGUACUGGAGGGUCAGGCGGAAGUCCUAGUGUAGCGGUGAAAUGCGUAGAUAUUAGGAGGAACACCAGUGGCGAAGGCGGCCUGCUGGACAGUAACUGACGUUGAGGCUCGAAAGCGUGGGGAGCAAACAGGAUUAGAUACCCUUGUAGUC